AUGCCCCAUGAAAAGGGAGGUUUCCUCUCUGGUAUCCUUAAAAAAACAAAAAAAUCACCUGAUGAGACGUCAACACAAGAGAAUCUGAGUUCUCACAGUGAGCUUUCUGCCAGCAGCGACAGCCUUUCUGAAAACAAGGUGAGGUCCAGUAGCUGCUGUAGUGGCAGCAGAGAUAAUGUUAUCUGGAAUUACAGUGUACACAUACAGCUCAAUGGUAAAUUUACCUGCAAAAUUACUUGUCUGACUUUAGAAUAA
rnacentral:lncRNA from 1 species